rnacentral:rRNA from 1 species
CCUACGGGAGGCAGCAGUAGGGAAUAUUGGGCAAUGGAGGCAACUCUGACCCAGCCAUGCCGCGUGCAGGAAGAAGGCGUUAUGCGUUGUAAACUGCUUUUAUAUAGGAAGAAAUAGACCUUGCGAGGUAAGUUGACGGUACUAUAUGAAUAAGCACCGGCUAACUCCGUGCCAGCAGCCGCGGUAAUACGGAGGGUGCAAGCGUUGUCCGGAUUUAUGGGUUUAAAGGGUGCGUAGGCGGUUUAUUAAGUCAGUGGUGAAAGACGGUCGCUCAACGAUUGCAGUGCCAUUGAUACUGGUAGACUUGAGUGGGAUUGAGGUAGCUGGAAUGGAUAGUGUAGCGGUGAAAUGCAUAGAUAUUAUCCAGAACACCAAUUGCGUAGGCAAGUUACUAAGUCUCAACUGACGCUGAGGCACGAAAGUGUGGGUAUCAAACAGGAUUAGAUACCCUGGUAGUCCACACUGUAAACGAUGAUAACUAACUNUUGGCUUUCGAAGUUNGUGUNAGAGAAUAGUUAGUUAUCACCNGGAGUACGCGCGACG